rnacentral:rRNA from 1 species
AUUGAACGCUGGCGGAAUGCUUUACACAUGCAAGUCGAACGGUAGAGGGGGCAACCCCUUGAGAGUGGCGAACGGGUGAGUAAUAUAUCGGAACGUGCCCAGUCGUGGGGAUAACGUAGCGAAAGUUACGCUAAUACCGCAUACGAUCUAAGGAUGAAAGCGGGGGAUCGCAAGACCUCGCGCGAUUGGAGCGGCCGAUAUCAGAUUAGGUAGUUGGUGAGGUAAAGGCUCACCAAGCCAACGAUCUGUAGCUGGUCUGAGAGGACGACCAGCCACACUGGAACUGAGACACGGUCCAGACUCCUACGGGAGGCAGCAGUGGGGAAUUUUGGACAAUGGACGCAAGUCUGAUCCAGCCAUUCCGCGUGCAGGAUGAAGGCCCUCGGGUUGUAAACUGCUUUUGUACGGAACGAAAGGUUUCUCUUAAUACGAGGAGCUCAUGACGGUACUGUAAGAAUAAGGAUCGGCUAACUACGUGCC